GGAUGUGAGGGAAAUCUGGCUGCUGACGUCUGUCACCCCAUUGAUCGCCAGGGUUGAUUCGGCUGAUCUGGUUGGCUAAGCAGGUGUCCCCUUCCUCCCUCACCACUCCAUGUGCGUCCCUCCCAAAGCUGCGAGCUAGGUUGAAGAGGAUGGUCUUCCCCUAAUCGAGACUGACUGGACUUCGGUUGAAGGUAUACAAGUAGCUGCACUCCCCUGCUAUAACCUCCAAACAAGCUCAAGAGAUUGGAGCUGAUGACCUUAAGUGCUUGCUUUUUGCCCAUUGACCAGAUAACUAGAACUAUCUGCAUUAUCUAUGG
ensembl:misc_RNA 7SK 7SK RNA